CAGAAAGUUCACGUAGGCAGCAUGGAAAUCCAGUGCAAGGCCAAACAAACAUCCAGUCAGAUGUGCAGAUGCUUCUUUCACCUAUUACACAGAGCGAACAGUUGUUUCUUUCAUCUGUUGUUCCCCUUGCUAUUGUGCAUUUCGCUGAUUCAGUGUUGGUGGCAUCUUGUGCUCUUCUAUUGGAGUUGUGUGGUCUAUCUCCUGGUAUACUCCAAAUUGAUGUUGCGGCUUUGAGAAGAAUAGCCUCCUUUAAUAAAUCUGGCCCUUGUUCCAAUCACCUUCAGCAACUUUCCCCCAGGGGGUCCCCAUUUCAUUCAAAUAAUAGUGACAAUAAUAUCACUGAAUCUCUAGCACGAGGAUUGGCAGAUGAUUAUUGCCAGAAUGAUUGGUUCAAUCAAACUAUUCAAAAAAGUGAUCAGUUCACAACCUCUGACAGACAACCAUCUCGAGCUCUCAUGCUUGUCCUGCAACAUUUGGAAACAUCAAGUCUUCCGUCAUCAGCUGAUGGAGUGACUUGUGGUUUUUGGUUGUUAACUGGUAACGGUGAUGGAGUUGAACUGAGGUCUCAGCAAAAAACUGCUAGUGAACACUGGAGUUUG
rnacentral:misc_RNA from 1 species